GGGACGACUUGUCGCUGAGGGUUGGGCUUUUAGUCCCUCUGGGUCUUUGCGUUGAGACCGUAUGUUCGCGUUUCUUGCACCUUUUCAGAGGCUCGUGUCUUUGUAGAAGAAGGUUUUAUUGGGAGGUAAAGGUCAAUGCAGAGCUGUAGUAUAAGAUGUCUUAUGGUGAAAUUUCUGAAGCCAAAUCCUUGGGGCAUGGGGAAGAACUAAUAAGUGAACCAUGCUAUAAAAAAUUGAAGUCAACCGAAGAGGCUUAUGUUUUCCCCCAUCAGGGUAGUGCUAAUUUUCACAGACUCCAAGAGAAAACUGGAAAUGAUUGGGUCCCUGUGACCACCAUUGAUGUCAGAGGACAUAGUUAUCCUCGGGAGGACAAAACCAAAACUACAGAUUUGCUGAAACCUGUGCGUAAUGAGAUACUUGAUAAUAGACCAGAUGUUACUGAAUCCGUUGAUUCACAAGUUUUACAAGAUACGAGUCCCCCAUUGAUAUCCAAAGAUGAUGAGAUAUAUAGCACAAGUAAAGCAUUUAUAGGACCCAUUUACAAACCCCCUGAGAAAAAGAAAUGUAAUGAAAGGAGGAAUCAAGCAGACACUAUCAAUGGUAUAGCCGGCAGAGGAGGACAAGAAGAGAAACAGAAAUUUAACUUCAAAAAAUCAGAGAUUGACAAUGAAUUAUUCCAAUUUUACAAAGAAAUUGAAGAGCUUGAAAAUGAAAAAGAUGAUUCAGAAGGCAGUUGUAAGGAACCCAAACCCUCUGAGGAACAACUUAUUACAUAUUAUCAGGGCCAUGAUAAUAAUCUGUUCAAGUCUGAAGAAGAAAAGAAAAGAGAUCCUAGUAAUGCUCUUGAGUCACAUUGUGGUUAUCAACAGUAUUUGGUGAAUGAACCAGGCAAAUAUCCUUGUAAUGGGCAGGUAAUACCUACAUUUUGUGACGAUUCAUUUACUUCCUUCAGGCCUGAAUGGCAAUCAGUGCAUUCUUUUAUAGUACCCCAAGGUCCUCCUCUUCCUAGUUUUAAUUAUCAUUUAAAUAUUCAAAGAUUCAAUGCUCCACCAAAUCCACUAUCAAAUAUCUUCCAUACCCAAGAUGGCUCUCAGAUGCGAAAUGGCUAUUAUGUAAAUAGUUGUCAUGUUAACUGGAAUUGUUUAACUUUUGAUCAGAACAAUGAAUAUACUGACUGUAGUGAGGGUACCAGUAGUGAUCGUCCCUCUAGAAAUGGCUACAGUGUGCAAGAUGGAUACGUGAGUAAUAGUUUUUGUGAAACCAGUGAAGGAUGCUGGAAAGAUCCUUCUAUGGACAAGCAUAAUGGAACAGAUAGGUUUACGAACCAGCAGUUUCAAGAGGAAAAAUUAAAUAAAUUGCAGAAGUUACUUAUUCUUUUAAGAGGCUUGCCUGGUUCAGGGAAAACAACGUUGUCUCGAAUUCUGCUUGGUCAGAGUCGUGAUGGCAUUGUGUUCAGCACUGAUGACUAUUUUCACCAUCAAGAUGGGUACAGGUAUAAUGUUAAUCAACUUGGUGAUGCCCAUGACUGGAACCAGAGCAGAGCAAAACAAGCUAUCAAUCAAGGGAGAUCUCCAGUUAUAAUAGACAACACUAAUACACAAGCUUGGGAAAUGAAACCGUAUGUGGAAAUGGCCAUAGGAAAAGGAUACAGAGUAGAGUUUCAUGAACCUGAAACUUGGUGGAAAUUUGAUCCUGAAGAAUUAGAAAAGAGGAAUAAACAUGGUGUGUCUCGACAGAAGAUUGCUCAGAUGUUGGAUCGUUAUGAAUAUCAAAUGUCCAUCUCUAUUGUAAUGAAUUCAGUGGAACCGCCACACAAAAGCACACAAAGACCUCCUCCUUCACAGGGGAGACAGAGAGAAAGAGAUUUGAAGAAAACUGGGUACAGGCUCAGCAAAACCAAACAGAAGAGAAACAGAAAAAGAAGUAAAAAGCAGAACAGUCAUCGUAAAAUUAUGGAGGAAAACUCAUUUGAAACCUUAAGUUAUCUUAGGCCAGGAGAUCAGGAUCCAUCUCAGAGUGAAGAGGAAGACUUAGAAAAGACCAAAAGAGAAUCCGGGUGUCCCUUCACUGAUGGUCUGGGAAACAAACUAGGAGAUUUAGUGAAUGGCCACAAAGAUGAAAGACAGAAAAAUAUAAGUCCUGAAGACAGUUUUCCAAAUGUUAUGUCUAUAGUUGAAUUGAACAAUACACCAAAGAAUUACCUCUCUAAGGAAGAGGAUGACUCGUUUCUAAGUUUGUCAUUGAUGCCAAAUGAAAACUCAGUUAUUUGUCCAACAGUGACUCAAAAUCUUUCCUGUGUAGCAAGUGAUGACUACUCUGGUAUGAAAGUAGAAAAGCAUGUUGGAAAUAGGCAUACCGUGGCGUUAGAGAUCCAAGAGCAAUUUGCUGAAACCCCGUGCUCAUUUAUGCAGAAGAGAGAAACGGUAGACAAACGUCUCCUGAAUGAAACAAUUCUGUGCCGUCAGUAUGGAUCCAGAACCUCAGAUAAAGUUUUAAGAAAGGAACCACGAGUAAAUACAACUAAAAACAAUUAUUGGACUUUUUUCUCAAACAGUUUAUCUGAUGAAGAAUUACAGCUGGGUUCUGAUAGACAGCCUUAUUUUGAUAGCUGGCCUGAGGGACCUCAUAAGUUUGUAUGUGAACAGAGACCAAAGAAAGAUAGACGGCAAAAGCUGGCCUGUCCUGAUAGCAGGGGGCAAUUGAUUAAAUUGAUCUCCACAUCUGAAGGAGCAUUAGGACCAGGAAGUCUAGAAAAAAUGGUAGAGGAGAAGCUAUUGAUAGAAAAUGAAGAUUUGUCACCUCCAACUGAGAAUAUAGACUCAAUCAUAGAAACAGAAACCAAUAUCUUCAGAAGCUACUUACUUAAACUGGAUAUCCCAAAGAGUGCCUUACACUCAACAAAGAAUAAGAAAAGGAGACAGAAAAGGAUUUUCAAUUUGGCACCAAACUUUAACUUACUGGGACAGAGUCAUAUCAGUAUAAAAGGAAAGGAGAAAUGUGGCUUGUUAACAGAAAUUCAUGGACUAAAAAUUAUUUUGGAAGAAGAAAAAGAUAGAAUUUUAGAAGUAAAUAAUGGAGAGGAGAAUAAGAAAAAACUUAUGACAUUCAAUCAUCAUCCAUCAUGGAUUUACUUUGAUAUCAAAGAUCCUCCUCUAAAUGGUGGUGGACCAUUUUAUUCUCAUUACCUGCCAUUUAAUAGACUGAGGCACUCUGUAUAUUUUUACAAAAACCCUAUUCCUUCUCUUGUGCUACAAUAUACAUCUAGCUUUUGGAAGAUAUCUUUUACAAGCAAGAAACCAUUUUUGACUUUCAAAUCUCCGACAAGAGUAGAUAACCAACUAAAUGACAUAGGGUUUAUUUCUUCAGAAAUUCUCAGUAGCCAACCUGAUACUUUGUACUCUUUUAGAGUCACUUCUGAUCUUCACUUUUUAAGUGAAAGGUUUGGUGAAAAGCCGAAGAUAUGGGAAGAACCCAAGCCGUUACAGUUCUUACAAACUGAGGAUAACCAGGAUUUAACAAGCGCUGACUUUGAUUCCCUUGAGCUACCAUUAUCACAAGGGUUUGCCUUUCAACUAGUAAAGCUUUUUGGAUCUCUUAGAGUCCCAGUGGAAUCUUUGUUGCCUGAUGACUGUGUGGUUCUCCUUGUCUGGAAGACACUGAAGAUGAUCUAUUUGCAAUGGAAGAUGUCAGUAGAGAAAAGACAGAAGAAGAUUGGUUGAAAAAUGAGAAUUCCUUGAACUCUGAAAGAAGAAGGACUAAAGAUUUGGGAGAAGAGUUUAGAGAUUUGGAGGGACCACUAGAAAAUGUGGGAUAAAUAAAAAAUGUGAGAUAAGAGGAAUUCCAGAAAGAAGUUGAAUUCUCCGGUCUUCCUGGUGCUGUUGAAGAUCCUAAUCAUCAAGAAGGAAUGCUCAGUGCUGACUCAAAGGAUUAUUUCCAGCGGUAUACUCAUUGGAUAUCAAAAUUGUUUUGGAUAAUCUGUCCAACCAUUCUUGAUUAGUUAUCUAAAUAAUAAAAACUCAACAAA